UACAGAGGGGGCAAGCGUUAUUCGGAAUUAUUGGGCGUAAAGAGCUCGUAGGCGGUUUGUCGCGUCUGCCGUGAAAGUCCGGGGCUCGACUCCGGAUCUGCGGUGGGUACGGGCAGACUAGAGUGAUGUAGGGGAGACUGGAAUUCCUGGUGUAGCGGUGAAAUGCGCAGAUAUCAGGAGGAACACCGAUGGCGAAGGCAGGUCUCUGGGCAUUAACUGACGCUGAGGCGCGAAAGCUAGGGGAGCAAACAGG
rnacentral:rRNA from 1 species